rnacentral:rRNA from 1 species
UACGGAGGGAGCUAGCGUUGUUCGGAAUUACUGGGCGUAAAGCGCACGUAGGCGGCUUUGUAAGUUAGAGGUGAAAGCCCGGGGCUCAACUCCGGAACUGCCUUUAAGACUGCAUCGCUUGAAUCCAGGAGAGGUGAGUGGAAUUCCGAGUGUAGAGGUGAAAUUCGUAGAUAUUCGGAAGAACACCAGUGGCGAAGGCGGCAUCCUGGACCGGCAUUGACGCUGAGGAGCGAAAGCUAGGGGAGCAAACAGG